rnacentral:rRNA from 1 species
CUGCCGCGUGCUUAUAAUGCAAGUCGAGCGGGUUUCGUACUCGUCACUGGUUGGUUGUCCCUUAUGAAAAAUAAGGUUAAGGGGAAAGGGAAAGUAAAUCCCGAAAGACGAACGACGAGUGACGAGUAACGAGAUCAGCGGCGGACGGGUGAGUAACGCGUGGGCAAUCUGCCCUCUAGCCCGGGAUAACAGAGCGAAAGUUCUGCUAACACCGGAUAUGCUCCCGGCAAGGCAUCUUGUAGGGAGGAAAGAUCACACUAGAGGAUGAGCCCGCGUCCCAUUAGCUAGUUGGUGAGGUAAUGGCCCACCAAGGCGACGAUGGGUAGCCGACCUGAGAGGGUGACCGGCCACACUGGGACUGAGACACGGCCCAGACUCCUACGGGAGGCAGCAGUAGGGAAUUUUCGGCAAUGGGCGAAAGCCUGACCGAGCAACGCCGCGUGAGGGAAGAAGGUCUUCGGAUCGUAAACCUUUGUCUUUGGGGAAGAUAGUGACGGUACCCAAGGAGGAAGCCACGGCUAACUACGUGCCAGCAGCCGCGGUAAUACGUAGGUGGCAAGCGUUGUCCGGAAUUACUGGGCGUAAAGGGCGUGUAGGCGGUCUAUUAAGUCAGGCGUGAAAACUGUGGGCUUAACCCACAGACUGCGUUUGAGACUGAGAGACUUGAGGAUCGGAGAGGGCAGUGGAAUUCCCAGUGUAGCGGUGAAAUGCGUAGAUAUUGGGAAGAACACCAGUGGCGAACGCGGCUGCCUGGACGACACCUGACGCUGAGGCGCGAAAGCCAGGGGAGCAAACGGGAUUAGAUACCCCGGUAGUCCUGGCUGUAAACGAUGGGUACUAUGU